CAGCCGCCGCGGUAAUACCGGCGGCCCGAGUGGCGGUCACUAUUAUUGGGCUUAAAGCGUCCGUAGCCGGGUUGGGAAGUCCUCCGGGAAAUCUGGCCGCUUAACGGUCAGUAUGCCGGAGGAUACUCCCAGCCUAGGGAGCGGGAGAGGCCGAGGGGAUUCCCGGAGGAGGGGGGAAAUCCUAUAAUCCCGGGAGGACCACCUGUGGCGAAGGCGCUCGGCUGGAACGCGUCCGACGGUGAGGGACGAAGGCCAGGGGGGCAAACCGGAUUAGAUACCCGGGUAGUCCUGGCUGUAAACGAUGCGGACUUUGUGUCGGACAAGCUAUGAGCUUGUCCGGUGCCGGAGGGAAACCGUUAAGUCCGCCGCCUGGGGAGUACGGCCGCAAGGCUGAAACUUAAAGGAAUUGGCGGG
rnacentral:rRNA from 1 species